UCGCCUGUUUAUCAAAAACAUAGCCUAAAGUAUUUAUUUUAGGUUUAGCCUGCCCAGUGUAAUUUUAUUAACGGCCGCGGUACUUUGACCGUGCUAAGGUAGCAUAAUCAGUUGACUUUUAAUUGAAGUCUGGAAUGAAUGGAUAAAUGGGGGUCAGCUGUCUUCAUAAAAUUUUAUUGAACUUACUCUUAAGGUGAAAAAGCCUUAACUUAAUAAAAAGACGAGAAGACCCUAGGAGCUUUAUAAUUAUUUUGUUGGGGCGACAAGGGAAAAUAUAUAGAAUAAUCUUCCCUUAAUGAUUUUCUACACAAGACGAGUAUCUAAGAAAGAAAAAGCUACCCUAGGGAUAACAGCAUAAUUUAUUAAUUAAGAUUGUGACCUCGAUGUUGGACUAGGAAUUAGAUAGGUGAGCAACCUUUCUUAAUGGUUCUGUUCGAACUUUUUCUCCUACGUGAUCUGAGUUCAGACCGGAU
rnacentral:rRNA from 1 species